rnacentral:rRNA from 1 species
GACGAACGCUGGCGGCGUGCCUAAUACAUGCAAGUCGAACGCAGUGGGGACGGGUGAGUAACACGUGGGUAACCUCCCAUCAGAGGGUUAACACUUGGAAACAGGAGCUAACCCGAUACUGGUGGAUGAACGCGCGGUGCAUGAGCAAGUUGGUGGGGAAACGGCUCACCAAGGCAAGGAUGCAUAGCUGGUUUGAGAGGGUGACCAGCCACACUGGGACGGAGAAACGGCCCAGACUCCUACGGUAGGCAGCAGUAGGGAAUCUUCGGCAAUGGACGAAAGUCUGACCCAGCAACGCCGCGUGAGUGAAGAAGGUUUUCGGAUCGUAAAGCUCUGUUGUUAGAGAAGCGGUAUCUAACCAGAAAGCCACGGCUAACUACGUGCCAGCAGCCGCGGUAAUAC